rnacentral:tRNA from 1 species
AGAAAGGUAAGCUAAAUUUUAAGCUACCAGGUUCAUACCCUGUUUAUAGAGAUACCCUUCUCCUUUCUA